CGUGCUUUGGUUUCAGGGUUACGAGAUC
rnacentral:piRNA from 1 species